rnacentral:rRNA from 1 species
AUUGAACGCUGGCGGCAUGCUUUACACAUGCAAGUCGAACGGUAACAGGCCUUCGGGUGCUGACGAGUGGCGAACGGGUGAGUAAUGCAUCGGAACGUGCCCAAUCGUGGGGAUAACGUAGCGAAAGUUACGCUAAUACCGCAUAAGCCCUGAGGGGGAAAGUGGGGGACCGCAAGGCCUCACGCGAAUGGAGCGGCCGAUGUCAGAUUAGCUAGUUGGUAGGGUAAAGGCCUACCAAGGCGACGAUCUGUAGCUGGUCUGAGAGGAUGGCCAGCCACACUGGAACUGAGACACGGUCCAGACUCCUACGGGAGGCAGCAGUGGGGAAUAUUGCGCAAUGGGCGAAAGCCUGACGCAGCCACGCCGCGUGAGUGAUGAAGGCCCU